UCCGACUCGUGGGUGCAGCGAGUUUGGGUCGGGUAUUGCACCUACCUUGACUCGACCCGACCCGAACUCGCUGCACCAACGGGUUG
rnacentral:pre_miRNA from 1 species